AGCAGCUGCAGAAAGUCAAAGCCGUUUGUGCCCUCCUGCUGCGCUACUAUUUCUGUUGGCAUAACAAUAUCAGAAUUAAUAUCAAGUAUCACGACUAUCUACGCAGGACUAAAGUGAGAUCAGCAUUUUUCAAUUAGUCUCUUUAACAACUCCAAGGGUGGAACGAGUUCUUGUGUUCAGACGUUUCGCCUAUGCACAGUCACAUAAUUUCAAAAUCCAUGUGAUAUGACAAGAAAUUAUCGUGACCAUAGAGAAACGUCCGUCUGCGUAUAUCGCCCAAUGUACAGAGAUCAAAAACUUUAUUCGAAAUACUCAUUGUCAGCUGAACAAUCCACUGUUGACUUUAUUUUUGUACGUAUGCAGGGUAGAGAUGAGUACAGCGUGACGUCGUGAACAGUAGUACAUUACGAUUCUACGAUUCUGAAAUAUCGAUAAGCGCUUGUAUUAUCAAUCCUAAAUAUCACGUGCGAAUUACCUACUUUUUUUAAUAAAUUGGUAUCGAUACCAUUUCCAACAUUUCUUAAUACGAGUUCAACAAAUUAUUUUAAAAGAAAGUUUCGCGCCGUGUCCAUCUCUCCCCUACUAAACUUUUCUCUUAACUGUAUCUUAUUGUUACCUUAACCGUUAAACAAUACUACUUGCAGCUACAGACGCAGCUUACUCGUAACAUUCCUUUAUAGGCGAUAUUUCGUCGAUAGCAAGUCAAUGUUACAGUGAAAUAUAAUGAUUGUGAAUGCAUACUUUAUCAAAAGCACCGUUUUCAUUAUGAAUUAUGAUUUGAUGACGUACAAUCAACGAACUGAAAUUCCAUAAAUGAAAUUGUACAAUGAUAAAUAUAUUUUUCAAGUAUUUUACUUAAUCACUUAUUUCACCUUAAGCCGAUACUUAUAGGUAUAUUUUUUAUGUCUAGAUUUUAGAUAUUUGAUAUUGCUUUUAAAUAAGCUUUGGCAGGCAGUUGGGAUUAAAGGAGAAAACUCCCUUAGUAACCGCGAGGAUGAACUGUGGAACGUAUCUGCACUAGUUUAAGUUUUAUACUGCAAGAAAUAAUCAUAAAAAUAAAGUAUGGUUAGUGUAAGGAAAAAAAAGCCCCAAUCCUUUUACGUAAGGACAUAAGAAACGCGUAUACAAAAAGGGCAUUAUACUAGACAAAUGUUUGUUGUUGUAAUUUUUGUAUAAAUAUAAACCAGUGUAAGAUAGGACCACGCGUAAGGAGUGUGUAUCAUCUCAUAUUUUUUAAACAGGAAAUAUGAUCACGCAAGAGCAGUGGAUGAGCUCUUAUGAACAACAGACGACGUUAAUUGAGAGAUCUGAACUAUUCUUUUAAGAUAACAAUAAAUCAAACACUGUCGUAUACCUCGUAGAAAAGUACACUUGCAAUUUUACACCAACCUACGAAAUAAGAACUUUUCUAAAGGGUAUUUUUCGAAACAAUGUAACUUUUCUAAAAAUUAUCUUUAAAAUUGCUUCUUUGGCUUGCAUAAUUAUUGCUUGAAAUUACAUGUUUGUCUUCUGUAAGUGGAUUGAUUGAUUUAUCGCGUUUUCAUUAUCUUUGGAAACCACGAAGACCAUGAACAUUUAGUACGUAUACAGAUAUUUCAAUAUAUACUUCAAUCUGUUAUCUAUCAAACUUAUAACUGUCGCAUAUGAUUUAAUACAGAAUAAUUACAGUGCUCUAAUAAGGAAUGAUAUUAAAUAUUAUUUAUAAGCAUAUAUCAAGAUGUAAAUAAACCUUGAAUGUGUGGUUUGAGAAUACAUCAUUAUACUGACACAUUUGAAAAAGAUUUGCUGAUUACUGUUGGUACAAUAAAAACCGGAAUACUUCAACGAGUAAUGAUUGAUUAUGGAAAUAGAGUAAGUGUGCACAGUAUUCGAUCGAAAGUAUUUACUAUCUUCACUGUGCUGCUGUACGAUAAUGCUCCUAUUUUUCUAUGUCUAAAGUCUCACUGUACCAUCCAUUAUCAAUAAAGUGAAAGUCAAAAUAAUUUUCUGGAACUUGCCAAAAUUAUGUUCUACCUCAUGUUCGCAAUAUAUAUAAAUUUCUUUAAAUAAGGCAACAAACAACGAUAUCGUCAGGACACUAUUCACGACUUUAAAAACUCCAUUGGUGUUCAGCUUGAAGGCAGUAAUACAUAUAUUAGGUAAACACUUACAACUCGUCACAGAGAAACGAACGAAAAAAAUAUUAUACAACAUCAAAAUUUGAAACACCUGUAAACGUGGUAACUGUCAAUUGACUAGGAUACAAAUAAACUGUUGAAACAAGUGAUCACCUUCUACCUAGAAGGUCUAAUAAUUUUAAAUAUAUUGAUAGACCAAUAUCGUAAAGAUAACUACCGUUAGUGGGAUAUAUUACAGGCAGUUAUAUUAUUCCUGAGGAAAAACCAUAUUGGAUUUCUUAAAAAAAAAAGAGAAAAAAAAUUGCCAGAAGCAUAGCCCAGUUAUAGAAAUAAUUGUCAGCAUUAGCACUGUGUUGCGUGAUCUAUCAACGCGAGCCGUUAAUAGGCUUUUAUUAUCUAUGUUGGGCUACUUAUGUUUUCAUGGCGAGUAUAGGCACCGUCUAAGGCAAGGAUUUAAUUUGCAAGAUUCACGUAGUAUACAAAACGAGCAACAUCGACCGAGGAUGUGUUCGCUAUUCAGGUAGGACAAGGUACAUAUUACUAACACCUGAUGUAAAGUGAAGAGUUCAAAGGGUUCCCUUUUCAAGUAAUAUAAUGGGUGUUAUAUCAAUCAUUAAUAAACACGAAUUGACUAUCAUCUCACGGGGUAUGUUACAUUUCACACAGUCCAGUGAAAAAAACAAUGAAAUAUACUGGC